AGAGAUUAAACUGAAGAGUUUGAUCCUGGCUCAGAUUGAACGCUAGCGGGAUGCCUUACACAUGCAAGUCGAACGGCAGCGGAAAAGUAGCUUGCUACUUUUGCCGGCGAGUGGCGAACGGGUGAGUAAUGUAUCGGAACGUGCCCAGUAGCGGGGGAUAACUACGCGAAAGCGUGGCUAAUACCGCAUACGCCCUACGGGGGAAAGGGGGGGAUCUUAGGACCUCUCACUAUUGGAGCGGCCGAUAUCGGAUUAGCUAGUUGGUGGGGUAAAGGCCUACCAAGGCAACGAUCCGUAGCUGGUUUGAGAGGACGACCAGCCACACUGGGACUGAGACACGGCCCAGACUCCUACGGGAGGCAGCAGUGGGGAAUUUUGGACAAUGGGGGAAACCCUGAUCCAGCCAUCCCGCGUGUGCGAUGAAGGCCUUCGGGUUGUAAAGCACUUUUGUCAGGGAAGAAAAGGUUUCGGAUAAUACCCGGAACUGAUGACGGUACCUGAAGAAUAAGCACCGGCUAACUACGUGCCAGCAGCCGCGGUAAUACGUAGGGUGCAAGCGUUAAUCGGAAUUACUGGGCGUAAAGCGUGCGCAGGCGGUUCGGAAAGAAAGAUGUGAAAUCCCAGGGCUCAACCUUGGAACUGCAUUUUUAACUACCGGACUAGAGUAUGUCAGAGGGGGGUGGAAUUCCACGUGUAGCAGUGAAAUGCGUAGAUAUGUGGAGGAACACCGAUGGCGAAGGCAGCCCCCUGGGAUAAUACUGACGCUCAUGCACGAAAGCGUGGGGAGCAAACAGGAUUAGAUACCCUGGUAGUCCACGCCCUAAACGAUGUCAACUAGCUGUUGGGCCCUUCGGGGCUUAGUAGCGCAGCUAACGCGUGAAGUUGACCGCCUGGGGAGUACGGUCGCAAGAUUAAAACUCAAAGGAAUUGACGGGGACCC
rnacentral:rRNA from 1 species